CAAUGUGGUGGCUAAAGGAGAUACUGUUCACAGCAUAUUGUUAGUGAGGGAAAGCGUUCUUCACGUCAAUGUGGUGGCUAAAGGAGAUACUGUUCACAGCAUAUUGUUAGUGAGGGAAAGCGUUCUUCACGUCAAUGUGGUGGCUAAAGGAGAUACUGUUCACAGCAUAUUGUUAGUGAGGGAAAGCGUUCUUCACGUCAAUGUGGUGGCUAAAGGAGAUACUGUUCACAGCAUAUUGUUAGUGAGGGAAAGCGUUCUUCACGUCAAUGUGGUGGCUAAAGGAGAUACUGUUCACAGCAUAUUGUUAGUGAGGGAAAGCGUUCUUCACGUCAAUGUGGUGGCUAAAGGAGAUACUGUUCACAGCAUAUUGUUAGUGAGGGAAAGCGUUCUUCACGUCAAUGUGGUGGCUAAAGGAGAUACUGUUCACAGCAUAUUGUUAGUGAGGGAAAGCGUUCUUCACGUCAAUGUGGUGGCUAAAGGAGAUACUGUUCACAGCAUAUUGUUAGUGAGGGAAAGCGUUCUUCACGUCAAUGUGGUGGUUAAAGGAGAUACUGUUCACAGCAUAUUGUUAGUGAGGGAAAGCGUUCUUCACGUCAAUGUGGUGGCUAAAGGAGACUGUUUUUGACGGAAGAAGAAGUUUGUUUGAUACAGUAUUCAGUUUUAGUCCUUUAAAUGUUUGUUAAUGUACUUGAACAAGAGUAAAAUAUUUAUAAAGGUGCACUUAGAAUAGCUCGUUUUAUGCUCAGCUCAGAUUGAAUAUGAAGGUUUUAUUGGAGUAAUGUCAGUGUGUAUGGUGGUGGUCAUUGCCAUGCGUUUUCUCUCCAAAGUGGAUUGUGUUAUUUUCUCCCCUAAGUAAUUAUGGAAAAUGGAGAAAAACAUGUAAAUGGGGGUGGAGGGGCGAGAGUAUUCACACGAGACACAGACCAAGAAAAAUGGAACGAGGGCACCAUAAAUAAACAUGGCAUAUUUGCUGAAAGAAAGAAAGAAAACAGCAUGAGAGGUAGCAGGAGGAGAGGAGAGGAGGGAGAGUGCCAGUGUGUGGGAUGUGUAUGUGGGGAGUGUUGGGUGUGUGUGUUGGUGAGGUGGUACAGUACAGUGUGGUCAGGUUAGGGACCACCCAUGCUGAGUGUUGGAUACAGACAGGCUGGCUACUCUGGGUAGGGGUGGUCGGUCAGUGGCUGGCUGUAGUCAAGGCCGCUGCCCCAGCCCAGACGUCUGAGG
rnacentral:lncRNA from 13 species